AAAUGACUCUCGGCAACGGAUAUCUCGGCUCUCGCAUCGAUGAAGAACGUAGCGAAAUGCGAUACUUGGUGUGAAUUGCAGAAUCCCGUGAACCAUCGAGUCUUUGAACGCAAGUUGCGCCCAAAGCCUUCGGGCCGAGGGCACGUCUGCCUGGGUGUCACGC
rnacentral:rRNA from 1 species